UACAGAGGGAGCAAGCGUUGUUCGGAAUUACUGGGCGUAAAGGGCGCGUAGGCGGUCUUGCAAGUCCUGUGUGAAAUCCCUCGGCUCAACUGAGGAACUGCACGGGAAACUGCGAGGCUUGAGUUCGGGAGAGGGAUGCGGAAUUCCAGGUGUAGCGGUGAAAUGCGUAGAUAUCUGGAGGAACACCGGUGGCGAAGGCGGCAUCCUGGACCGACACUGACGCUGAGGAGCGAAAGCCAGGGGAGCAAACGGG
rnacentral:rRNA from 1 species